rnacentral:rRNA from 1 species
CCUACGGGAGGCAGCAGUGGGGAAUUUUGGACAAUGGGCGCAAGCCUGAUCCAGCAAUGCCGCGUGAGUGAAGAAGGCCUUCGGGUUGUAAAGCUCUUUUGUCAGGGAAGAAACGGUGGGAGCUAAUAUCUCCCGCUAAUGACGGUACCUGAAGAAUAAGCACCGGCUAACUACGUGCCAGCAGCCGCGGUAAUACGUAGGGUGCAAGCGUUAAUCGGAAUUACUGGGCGUAAAGCGUGCGCAGGCGGUUUUGUAAGUCUGUCGUGAAAGCCCCGGGCUCAACCUGGGAAUUGCGAUGGAGACUGCAAGGCUUGAAUCUGGCAGAGGGGGGUAGAAUUCCACGUGUAGCAGUGAAAUGCGUAGAGAUGUGGAGGAACACCGAUGGCGAAGGCAGCCCCCUGGGUCAAGAUUGACGCUCAUGCACGAAAGCGUGGGGAGCAAACAGGAUUAGAUACCCUGGUAGUCCACGGCCCUAAACGAUGUCUACUAGUUGUCGGGUUUUAAUUAACUUGGUAACGCAGCUAACGCGUGAAGUAGACCGCCUGGGGAGUACGGUCGCAAGAUUAAAACUCAAAGGAAUUGACGGCNGAGAGUGACGACGACGACGACGAGGGAGGAGG